rnacentral:rRNA from 1 species
GAUUAACGCUGGCGGCGUGCAUAACACAUGCAAGUCGAACGAUGAAACUUAAAUGAUUUCUUCGGAAUGAACUUAAGUGGAUUAGUGGCGGACGGGUGAGUAACGCGUGAGUAACCUGCCUUACACAAGGGGAUAGCCGUUGGAAACGACGAAUAAUACCCUAUGAAACUAUCACUUCGCAUUAAGCGCUAGUCAAAGUGUUAGCGGUGUAAGAUGGACCUGCGUCUGAUUAGCUAGUUGGUGAGAAAAAAGCCCACCAAGGCAACGAUCAGUAGCCGGCUUGAGAGAGUGUACGGCAACAUUGGGACUGAGACAAGGCCCAGACUCCUACGGGAGGCAGCAGUGGGGAAUUUUGCACAAUGGGGGAAACCCUGAUGCAGCGACGCCGCGUGAUUUAGAAGGCCUUCGGGUUGUAAAAAUCUUUUGUAUAGGAAGAAAAUGACAGUACUAUACGAAUAAGGUCCGGCUAAUUACGUG